CACACUAUCAUUAACUGAAUCCAUAGGUUAAUGAGGCGAACCGGGGGAACUGAAACAUCUAAGUACCCCGAGGAAAAGAAAUCAACCGAGAUUCCCCCAGUAGCGGCGAGCGAACGGGGAGCAGCCCAGAGCCUGAAUCAGUGUGUGUGUUAGUGGAAGCGUCUGGAAAGGCGCGCGAUACAGGGUGACAGCCCCGUACACAAAAAUGCACAUACUGUGAGCUCGAUGAGUAGGGCGGGACACGUGGUAUCCUGUCUGAAUAUGGGGGGACCAUCCUCCAAGGCUAAAUACUCCUGACUGACCGAUAGUGAACCAGUACCGUGAGGGAAAGGCGAAAAGAACCCCGGCGAGGGGAGUGAAAAAGAACCUGAAACCGUGUACGUACAAGCAGUGGGAGCCUCUUUAUGGGGUGACUGCGUACCUUUUGUAUAAUGGGUCAGCGACUUAUAUUCUGUAGCAAGGUUAACCGAAUAGGGGAGCCGAAGGGAAACCGAGUCUUAACUGGGCGUUAAGUUGCAGGGUAUAGACCCGAAACCCGGUGAUCUAGCCAUGGGCAGGUUGAAGGUUGGGUAACACUAACUGGAGGACCGAACCGACUAAUGUUGAAAAAUUAGCGGAUGACUUGUGGCUGGGGGUGAAAGGCCAAUCAAACCGGGAGAUAGCUGGUUCUCCCCGAAAGCUAUUUAGGUAGCGCCUCGUGAAUUCAUCUCCGGGGGUAGAGCACUGUUUCGGCAAGGGGGUCAUCCCGACUUACCAACCCGAUGCAAACUGCGAAUACCGGAGAAUGUUAUCACGGGAGACACACGGCGGGUGCUAACGUCCGUCGUGAAGAGGGAAACAACCCAGACCGCCAGCUAAGGUCCCAAAGUCAUGGUUAAGUGGGAAACGAUGUGGGAAGGCCCAGACAGCCAGGAUGUUGGCUUAGAAGCAGCCAUCAUUUAAAGAAAGCGUAAUAGCUCACUGGUCGAGUCGGCCUGCGCGGAAGAUGUAACGGGGCUAAACCAUGCACCGAAGCUGCGGCAGCGACACUAUGUGUUGUUGGGUAGGGGAGCGUUCUGUAAGCCUGUGAAGGUGUGCUGUGAGGUAUGCUGGAGGUAUCAGAAGUGCGAAUGCUGACAUAAGUAACGAUAAAGCGGGUGAAAAGCCCGCUCGCCGGAAGACCAAGGGUUCCUGUCCAACGUUAAUCGGGGCAGGGUGAGUCGACCCCUAAGGCGAGGCCGAAAGGCGUAGUCGAUGGGAAACAGGUUAAUAUUCCUGUACUUGGUGUUACUGCGAAGGGGGGACGGAGAAGGCUAUGUUGGCCGGGCGACGGUUGUCCCGGUUUAAGCGUGUAGGCUGGUUUUCCAGGCAAAUCCGGAAAAUCAAGGCUGAGGCGUGAUGACGAGG
rnacentral:rRNA from 1 species